AGAGUUUGAUCCUGGCUCAGGAUGAACGCUAGCGACAGGCCUAACACAUGCAAGUCGAGGGGCAGCGGGGAGGUAGCAAUACCUUUGCCGGCGACCGGCGCACGGGUGAGUAACACGUAUGCAAUCCACCUGUAACAGGGGGAUAACCCGGAGAAAUCCGGACUAAUACCCCAUAAUAUGGGCUCUCCGCAUGGAGGGUUCAUUAAAGAGAGCAAUUUUGGUUACAGACGAGCAUGCGCUCCAUUAGCCAGUUGGCGGGGUAACGGCCCACCAAAGCGACGAUGGAUAGGGGUUCUGAGAGGAAGGUCCCCCACAUUGGAACUGAGACACGGUCCAAACUCCUACGGGAGGCAGCAGUGAGGAAUAUUGGUCAAUGGUCGGCAGACUGAACCAGCCAAGUCGCGUGAGGGAAGACGGCCCUACGGGUUGUAAACCUCUUUUGUCGGAGAGUAAAGUACGCUACGUGUAGCGUAUUGCAAGUAUCCGAAGAAAAAGCAUCGGCUAACUCCGUGCCAGCAGCCGCGGUAAUACGGAGGAUGCGAGCGUUAUCCGGAUUUAUUGGGUUUAAAGGGUGCGUAGGCGGCACGCCAAGUCAGCGGUGAAAUUUUCGGGCUCAACCCGGACUGUGCCGUUGAAACUGGCGAGCUAGAGUGCACAAGAGGCAGGCGGAAUGCGUGGUGUAGCGGUGAAAUGCAUAGAUAUCACGCAGAACCCCGAUUGCGAAGGCAGCCUGCUAGGGUGCGACAGACGCUGAGGCACGAAAGCGUGGGUAUCGAACAGGAUUAGAUACCCUGGUAGUCCACGCAGUAAACGAUGAAUACUAACUGUUUGCGAUACAAUGUAAGCGGUACAGCGAAAGCGUUAAGUAUUCCACCUGGGGAGUACGCCGGCAACGGUGAAACUCAAAGGAAUUGACGGGGGCCCGCACAAGCGGAGGAACAUGUGGUUUAA
rnacentral:rRNA from 2 species